rnacentral:rRNA from 1 species
AAUGAACGCUGGCGGCGUGGUUAAGACAUGCAAGUCGAACGGUUUUUCAGGUGUAGCAAUACAUUUAAAAGACAAGUGGCGAACGGGUGCGUAACACGUGAACAAUCUACCUUCAAAUGGGGAAUAGCUCGCCGAAAGGCGAAUUAAUACCGCAUAUGGUUGCCUCUCGCAUGAGAGGCAUACCAAAGUCAGGGACCGCAAGGCCUGACGUUAGAAGAGGAGUUCGCGGCCAUCAGCUAG